rnacentral:rRNA from 1 species
GAUGAACGCUGGCGGCGUGCCUAAUACAUGCAAGUCGAGCGAACAGACGAGGCGCUUGCUCCUUUGACGUUAGCGGCGGACGGGUGAGUAACACGUGGGUAACCUACCUAUAAGACUGGGAUCACUUCGGGAAACCGGAGCUAAUACCGGAUAAUAUUUCGAACCGCAUGGUUCGAUAGUGAAAGAUGGCUUUUCUAUCACUUAUAGAUGGACCUGCGCCGUAUUAGCUAGUUGGUAAGGUAACGGCUUACCAAGGCAACGAUACGUAGCCGACCUGAGAGGGUGAUCGGCCACACUGGAACUGAGACACGGUCCAGACUACUACGGGAGGCAGCAGUAGGGAAUCUUCCGCAAUGGGCGAAAGCCUGACGGAGCAACGCCGCGUGAGUGAUGAAGGUCUUCGGAUCGUAAAACUCUGUUAUUAGGGAAGAACAAACGUGUAAGUAACUGUGCACGUCGUGACGGUACCUAAUCAGAAAGCCACGGCUAACUACGUG